rnacentral:rRNA from 1 species
UACGUAGGGCGCAAGCGUUGUCCGGAUUUAUUGGGCGUAAAGAGCUCGUAGGCGGUUCGACAAGUCGGGUGUGAAAACUCCGGGCUCAACCCGGAGACGCCACCCGAUACUGUCGUGACUGGAGUCCGGUAGGGGAGUGGGGAAUUCCUGGUGUAGCGGUGAAAUGCGCAGAUAUCAGGAGGAACACCGGUGGCGAAGGCGCCACUCUGGGCCGGUACUGACGCUGAGGAGCGAAAGCGUGGGUAGCAAACAGG